rnacentral:misc_RNA from 1 species
AAAAUAAUGAAUUCAGUGUUGAUGUGAGAGAAGUACAUAGACACGAAGGGUACUAAAUAAUUAUGCAAUUUAUGUGAUAUAGUAUUAGGAAAUUAUAGAAUGAGUUCAGUGGGAAAGUGCUAUUGGGCAAAAAGAAUAAAAGCUAGUAAGGAUAUUAUCAUUGCAAUUUCGUCAAGUUUCCUUGAUGAUACACUAGAUUGUUUGCAUUGAGACCCAUCAGACGAGAGGGAGGGGGAUCUAAUACUCGGAACUCUGCAAUCUGUGGCAAGUUCUAACAAUAUAUGCCUCAGUAAAAUAUUCUACAUCCCCAUUUUUUAUGGUGAAAAGAAUUAGUGGUUGAGCGAUGGGCGUACAGCCAAAAGCAGGCUUGGAAAAAGUAGGAUCAGCAACUUGCUACCGAGCAAAAAUCUCCUUGAUGCAAGUUAAUCUCUUCCAAGAAGCCAUUACCAUUACAACAGACAAAAGAAGCGAGUGUAGGAAUUAGAGCAGCUACUGUCAAGUGUCAACCUCCAGUUAUGUAAUAUUCCCAUAUGGUCUGAAGAAUUACCUCCCUAUGAGCUUAUAAUAGGCAUACAAACCGGAGCCAAGAAAACCAAGAAAUUGUCCAAUAACAUUCAAAACAUCAAAAGGCAGCCCACCAAAAAUUAUCCAGCCUAAUCCAACGGUAAAGAGAUCCUUCAGGUUACCACAUAUUGUCUGUGUGAGUGCUGAGUUCAGAGUAGUGUUCAGAAAUAUACUGUAAUUCAAGAAGAAAGCCAGUAUACAGGAAAGAAGGAGCACAGCCUGCCAAAGGAAAAAGGAAUUUGGUCAAAAUUCCCUGUAUUAUGUGUACAAUGUAUAUUGAAACACAGAAACAACAAAACAACAGAACGAAGAUGAUUUAUGCUUAGAAAUACAAGGUUUCAGAGACAACCAAACUCUAUAUACUGAUAAAACUUGCGAUAUAAAAUAUUGGAUAAAUGCUAGAAUUAAAUUGCAGUCAGUUGUACAAAACAAUCUUCAUCCUUCCCUACAUAGCUGCUACAAAUGUCAAUAGAUCUUAAGUUCUCAAACUGUUCACUGCUAAUUAAUUCACGAGUCAAAGACGUAUUUCUUCUGGAUUAGAUCUAGAUAUAAACCAAAUUGCAAAAAUGUACAAAGACCAGGAGUUGUAACUGAAAAACUUCAUUCAAGCAAAUGCCAGUGAACUAAACUACUAUAGACUGACUUUAUAAGCAUUAACAAUUAAUAGAAAGGGGACAUGUAGAAGAAAAGAGGCACUUCUGAAAGCUAGAAGACCUUACCAAGAAACCAGGGGAAAACAGAUAAGGGAAAUUCAUUGUCAUCACCAAUUCACCACGAAUAAAUGCCCAAAACAGCAAAACUGGUCCGCAUAAAAUUUCUAUUAUAGGAAAAGCAACAAGAAGAGGUAUACAGGCAAACAUUAGAAUAGUUCACAGUGCAUGAUUCAGUUUAGAUAUGUUAACUUACCAUUGCACCACAUAAGACCAAAGCUAUUAAGGCCACUGGAUUUCCCAAUACGGCUUAUAGUUGCAAGAUAUAUUGCUGUUGUAAUGUUGGCCAAGAAGACAACAGCAUACCCAUAGAAGUCAAAUGACAAGUCACGAGCUCCCGCAAUGAAUGCACCGAGAAUAAUCACUCCAACACUGAUAAUGUCCUUAAUUUUUUCAGUUGAAUGAAACAAUCAGAAAUUACAUUACAAUCACAACUAUUUCCAAUAACAGAAGCUGUUCAGUUUCUGGGGAACUGUCAAAUAGAAAUUUUUGAUGUAGAGAUAUGCCUAAAAGUUAGGAAUAAGGAGCAAAGAUUGUGUUUUUGAUAGCCUUUUGAAAGUCCAAAAUCAAUAUCCUAAGUGCAAAAUUUCUUCUAUCAGACAAUCAUCAGAGGGUUCUCAUCUGAAUUUAAAGUUGAACAUGUACAUUCAGUACAAGACCUUGAGACCUUGUUUUGAAAAAGCAAUUACCCUAUUAGAGUAAACCAGGAAAAUUGGAUUGCGUCAUGAGAAGGCAAAUACAGUGAGUACACUAUCUGGUGAAACAGAGCACAGAAAUAUCCAACAUUUUUAGCUACUUACAAUAAUCACUUGUUACACUGGAAUGCACUUUCUGCAAUAUCACUUUAUAUCAUUCAUUUAAGCUGUUUGACUGAAUAAUUGAUGAAAGCAAUUUAUUACACCAAAGAAGCAGAAUAUGCUUAGUAAUCCAAAGGCAACUUUUGCAAUGAAAUGAGAUAUUUAAGUCAAUAGUAGAUAGCAGUCAUUCAGAUAUCUAAUAAGUUCUACCAAGUGCAAUAUUCUUAAAAAUCCAAGAAUUCAAGUUGCGUAAAGGUUGUGCUAUCCCUUCCCAAUCCAUUACUAUUCUUUUCCCAGGAAACACUCACACCAAGCAAGCUGUUGCUUCUCCAGGCAGAUUUUACAGUGCCAAGCAACAUCAGUAGAGAUGGCCAAAUUUUUGUUUAAGCUCAUUCUAACUCAUGCACGAUAUUAUUGUCUGAGUUUCAAUUGCCAAUGAAAAAAAUAUACACUGAGAAAAGCAGCAGCAUUGAAAAAGCAUUUACCUUCCAACAAUAGGAGGUGUAUACCUCUGCCCUGCCAGCAAGUACUCCAUAAUCAUUGUAAAUGCCACUGUAGUUCGCCUUAGAGUGGUGUACAUGGGAACAUUUACUCCACGAACAGACUCCAUGGUAACUAGCAUGUAAAGCAAAUAGGCAAAUGAAAGAGGAAGGGUGUGCAUCAAUGUCUCCAAUGGUACAAAAGUAGUAUUGCUAUCAGAAAUAGGUAAAGAUUCACCAGUGGUGAAAGAGAUGAUCUUCCAGCGUCUCAAUGCAUAUAGGAAAGAGCAUGAACUUAUCAUCUGAAAGAGUGUUAUAGCAUUCGCACUAGGGAAGUUAUAAGAAGAAAGAGCUGCUUUGUUGAACAUUACCAAAAGCACAGCACAAGACAUAUAAGAAAUUGCAGCAUAGGCUCCUCUUUUAGUCAUUGCAGAUCCUCUAAAAAGCUUCUCAUCGCCUCCUUUGAUGAGUCUCUCCUUCUGCUUCUCUUCGCCGCUUGGAGAAAUGGAAACUGGAAGUAUCGAAUUGUUAGAGGAAUUAGAAGACGCCAUUGGAGAUAUCUCUCAGCUUUCUUUGAGGUUCUAUAUUUUGAAUCACUGAACUUAAACAUCGGUUUUAUGGUCAACUCCACAAGGUGAGUCGUGCAACUCGGAACUCGGAUCGGAAGUGAGCGCCGCCCGAUUUAUCAGACCAGUUGGCAGCGGCCCUUCACUCGCCUAAUUAUUGAC